rnacentral:rRNA from 1 species
CCCUUAGAUGUUCGGGGCCGCACGCGCGCUACACUGAAGGAAUCAGCACGUCUUUCUCCUUGUCCGAAAGGACUGGGUAACCCGCUGAACCUCCUUCGUGCUAGGGAUUGGGGCUUGUAAUUCUUCCCCAUGAACGAGGAAUUCCCAGUAAGCGCGAGUCAUAAGCUCGCGUUGAUUACGUCCCUGCCCUUUGUACACACCGCCCGUCGCUACUACCGAUUGGAUGGUUUAGUGAGAUCCUCGGAUUGGUCCCGGCGCGGCCUCUGGUCGUGCCGGAGUGCCGAAAAGGAUGUCGAACUUGAUCAUCUAGAGGAAGUAAAAGUCGUAACA